GGUCAACCACAGGCGCUUCUCGGCCACGGUCAGUGUGGCAGACACUGCCCAGCGGAGUGUGAGCAAGUACCGCUGUGUGAUCCGCUCCGAUGGGGGCUCUGGUGUGUCCAACUACGCUGAGCUGAUUGUGAAAGACUUUGUCAGCAGAGAGUGCCCUCAGAUGUCAAACGCUCCUGGCUUUGCACCGUUGACGGUGUGGGGCUAAGAGAGGAGAGCCUCCCACGCCCAUCGCCCCACCAGAGCUGCUGGCCGUGGGGGCCACCUACCUGUGGAUCAAGCCGAAUGCCAACUCCAUCAUUGGGGACGGCCCCAUCAUCCUGAAGGAGGUGGAGUAUCGCACCACCACGGGCACCUGGGCGGAGACCCACAUCGUCGACUCACCCAACUAUAAGCUGUGGCAUCUGGACCCCGAUGUGGAGUAUGAGAUCCGGGUGCUACUCACACGGCCAGGGGAAGGGGGCACAGGACCUCCGGGGCCUCCCCUCACCACCAGGACCAAGUGUGCAGGUAGGACCCUUCUUCCUGGCUCAAUGUGAGAGCUUGGAUGGUUGCUGUGAGGUGUCCUCUUGACCUUCUGUGGCGGUUGUUCCUAAAUGUGGAUGUGAGUGUGCUUCCUGGGGUGGUGGAGAAACAGGCAGGGUUUUGGUCUUGCCUCAGAGGACCUCCUGGCUCUGGUGGCAUCUCUGAGGACCUCCUGGUUUCAACUGUGAUUCUAAGAACCACCUGACUCUACCUGUGCCAUGGAGAGGUUCCUGGUUCUGACAGUCUUUCUAGAAGGACACUGGUUCGCCCUCUCCCAGGGUUCCUUGUGCCAUUGGUGCAUCUGAGGACUCUUGGCUCUGUGUCUCUGAGGGCUCCUGGGCCUGUUUCUCUGAGGUCUACUAGUUGUGUUUCUGGGGGCUCUGGGCUCUGACUAUGUGCCCUGAGGCCUCAUUUGGACUACAUCUGAAUGCAUCUGGUUCCUGUUGCCUAUCUAAUGUGUUUAGGCUUUUAUUUUUGUCCCUGAGGAUCCCUGGACUGGGUCUGUGACCCUGAUGAGCUCUUGGUUUUAACAAUUUUCCUGAGGGCUCCUGGGUCUAGUUCUGUCUCUGAGGGGCUUCUGGUGUCAGCUGCAUCUUGAGUGCCUCAUGGCUCUGAAAGUGUCUCUCAGUGGAGUCUGGAAAUGCCUUAGUCCCUGAGAGCCUUCUGGCUCUGUGUCCCUUGGAGGCUUCUGGCAUCUACCUAAGAGUCUGGGUUGAAACUAUCCCUCUAAGAAUCCUCUAAAUUUUGCAUCCUUUCAGGCUCCUGGCUCAGGUCCUUCUAGUUGGGCUCCAACUGUUUCUCUGAGGUUCCUGGAUGCUGCUUAAGAGUUUUCUGGCUGGGACUGUGUCUGGGAGGUUUCUUUGUAUCCAUCUAUACACCCAAGAGCUCUGUGCUUCUGUGGUGUUUCUAAUAAGGGGUAUUGGCUGGGAUUGUACCUCUGAAUGUACCCCUGAGAUGUUCUAGCUGUGAAUGCAACUCAAGAAAUUAAAAUGACUCAGUGUUUUGUGGGUGUUUUUUGUUUGUUUUGGGUUUUUUUUUUUUUGGAAAUUACAUUACUUAUUUUAACUCAUUUUUCCAAAGUAACCAUUCCAUACAAGUACUUUUAUUCAUAUAUAAAUGAAAAUAUCUGGACUCGGUAUUUGCAAACAGUUUAUCCAAAGUCAUGAAACUGGCCAGCAGCACACUUGGGAUCUGCACCCAGGUUUUCUGACUCCAUUGCUCUUGAGCAUUGGUCAUACUCUGAUGAAUAAAUAGCUGUGCACCAUUGCUGUGGUCUAUGGAGCCGGGGGUAUUUCUGUGGGGGAUUGGGGAUGUGGCACCCUAGGCCCAUGGCUUCUGAGGGGAAAGGAGUCCCUGACAGCUUCUGGGGGCAGGGGGUAGAGGGACCCAUUCACACAGUGAUUUCCAUGGAACAAAGUGAAAAGUAGGGAGUUCUCUGGUGGCCCAGUGGGUGAAGGAUCUGGCGUUGUCACUGCAGUGGCUCAGGUGGCUGUUGUGGCGGGGAUUUGAUCCCCAGCCCUGAAAUUUCUUCAUGCUACAGGUGCAGCCAAAAAAAAAAAAAAAA
rnacentral:lncRNA from 1 species